GUGGGCACCUGAUGUAUGGGUUAUCUUGCAGGAAUGGAGAACAGCUGAGAGAUGAAAGAGUGAAAAGCAACAAAGUUCUGCCAGAUGCAAAAAGUAAAUGAGCAGAAGGAAACCCAAAACUAUUCAUUUUUGCUGUCACUUUCUUUGUUACCUCUCCGGACAAGUGUGAUAUCCAAGUUAACCACAUUGUCCUUUUUUCUUGUCCUUGAUGUAUUUGUAUCUUUGCAUUUAUUGUUAGGUUUUGUCAUGUUAUCAACUUCCAAGAGUGGUACACCAAAUCAGAUGUUUCUGCUCAAAGCUGUAAGUCUCCAAAUAGGACGAGUGAAUUUGGUUUCUUCCCUAAAAGUUCAAAAUGUCCUUGCUUGCUCCUAGGGUCCUCCAUGGGCUGCUAUUCUGGUUAAAUUCAAGAGCUUGGUUCCGGAGUCUUUGCUCCAUGAGGGAGAUCAGGCUUCUUCCUUUGAGAGCUUGCUCCUGACCUGAAUGACAAAGAAACUGAAACAAGGGCAGGGUGAAGCUAGGGAAGGUUUGCUCACUGAUGUAGCUCAUUAGAGGACUUCACUGCCUUGCUACUGAGCCUUUUGGUUCUGCCAAGUUUCUUGAUGAGAGCUGCAGGAGUAACAAUAGAAAAGUAGGUCAGGAGUAGAUCUUGUAAAUCUACUCAAAGGGCCAAGAGCACAUUUUGUGUAGAAGAAGAAAAGAGAGAAAGGAAAAAAAGAAAUAGGAAGAUUUUAGGGUGAAGAGAAGAACAGGAAGGCCAGAAGUUUAGGUGGAAGUCUUAAACACUGAAAUUUUUGGCCUUCGUCUGGACUUGCAGCAUGGCCACAAAGUUGCUGUGUGCUGUUUCCAGAUUGCUGGAGGUAUCUGACCCACCUGCCAGGUCAUUUUCAACCAAAAUUAUGUGGCAGGCCAGUGAGGAGUUAAGAUUCAGAUAAAGCAGAAUUGAUACACCAGUUACUAUUUUGGGGAUAGGCACAGAAAUAUUUGGAAUGCUAUCAAGCAGCUGUUAUGGUCUUUUAACCCCUCUAAGCUGGGAGCUACUUGGGUAGGGGAAGAAAAUGAGUCUAUCUUUUUUUCCCUGUAAGUCGGAUGAUGCAUGUAUAUGGAUUGCUUACUGAUAUGAUUCAACUGUAUGAGCAGAAUAACAAUGAUGUUACUGUGUACUCAUAGGAGUAUUUCUCAAAGAUUUCCUAUAUACCUGAAUUUUGUCCCCCAUCCCAUUGCUCUGUCUUUUAAUUAAAUUCUACCCUGAAUUGAUUACAUCUAGAUUUUCCCAUGAGGCUGUAGAAGUGAAUUUACUUCUGUUCUUCUAUCUGUAAAGCUUGUUGUUUAAAUCUUUUCUCUCUCUGUCCUUUUUUUUAAAGAAGAUUUGCUGAUUGCAAUUUGA